rnacentral:rRNA from 1 species
UACAGAGGGUGCGAGCGUUAAUCGGAAUUACUGGGCGUAAAGCGUGCGUAGACGGCUAUCUAAGUCGGGUGUGAAAGCCCCGGGCUCAACCUGGGAAUUGCAUUCGAGACUGAAUAGCUAGGGUACGGUAGAGGGAAGCGGAAUUUCCGGUGUAGCGGUGAAAUGCGUAGAUAUCGGAAGGAACAUCAGUGGCGAAAGCGGCUUCCUGGACCAGCACCGACGUUCAGGCACGAAAGCGUGGGGAGCAAACAGG